rnacentral:rRNA from 1 species
CACGUAGUUAGCCGUGGCUUUCUAAUAAGGUACCGUCAAGGUGCAGUCAGUUACUACUGCACUUGUUCUUCCCUUACAACAGAGCUUUACGAUCCGAAGACCUUCUUCGCUCACGCGGCGUUGCUCCAUCAGGCUUUCGCCCAUUGUGGAAGAUUCCCUACUGCUGCCUCCCGUAGGAGUCUGGGCCGUGUCUCAGUCCCAGUGUGGCCGAUCACCCUCUCAGGUCGGCUACGCAUCGUCGCCUUGGUAGGCCGUUACCCUACCAACUAGCUAAUGCGCCGCGGGCCCAUCCUAUAGUGAUAGCAGAACCAUCUUUCAACAUAGAAACAUGCAUUUCUACGUAUUAUCCGGUAUUAGCACGCGUUUCCGCGAGUUAUCCCAGUCUAUAGGGCAGGUUGCCCACGUGUUACUCACCCGUCCGCCGCUAACGUCAGAGAAAAGCAAGCUUUUCUCGUCAGUUCGCUCGACUUGCAUGUAUUAGGCACGCCGCCAGCG